rnacentral:lncRNA from 1 species
AACUACUCUUCUCUUUUGUACACCGCCAAUUGUCAAAGCAAACGUCUCUCUUAUCUUCUCUUUUCUAAAUUUUCUUCAACGAUCUCUCAAAUCUGUAGCAAGGUAAUUCGUUUGAAAUUUUCAAUUAUGUUUUAUACUUGUACUUUUUGUUUUCAUUAAUUUUGUUAUUAGUUUUAAUUGAUGAAAUUUUAACUUUGUAUUUAGAUUAUAUGUGUUGGACAUACUAAGGCACUCAUAUUCAUGUGAGAUUAUUAGUGGUUAUAUUAUUUGACUAUUUUUUAUAUCAUUACUUGAUUUAGUUAUGCACUUAACACUUAUGCUUAAGUUUAAUAAAUUAAAAAAAUAUCUUUCUGGAUAUAGAAAACGCAUUAGAAAAAACUAGCAAGCAAAGAAACACUUUUUAAAUGAAUAAGUUAGUUUUUUGUAAGUUAUUAUGUAAUUUGAUAAAAAGAUGUAUUAUCUAGUCAAAUAUUUUUGAUUUUAUAACUUUUAUCUCAACUAUGAAUAAAGGACUACAAAUUGAAGAAUUCUCAAAGGUCUACGUUCUCUUAACCUCAUCUCUGCAAAUUUGAACAAUUAGUGUCGGGUUCAUGUUGAAGUCAAACCCUAUGCUACUUAACCCAACCCAAAAAGAAAAGCUAAAAAUAUUACUUCCUCAGUUCCUCAAAAAUUUCCAAGGGGAAUGACAGAUUUUAAUAAAAAUUGAUAAAAAAAGUUAUUUGAUAAUGAGGUCAUGCACAAAAAUAGUGUUUAAGGGAUUGUAAUUGUAAAAUUGAUGAUAGAGUCAUAUACAAAAAUAAAAAAUAAGGAGAUCGUGAUAAAACCUUUUGAGGAAUGAGGGAGUAUCUUUCACGGCCAUACAUGAAUCCCAUUUCAAAAUUUUGCUUUAUAUUUUUAUAUCUUCCCGAAACUUUGAGCCAAGAUCCAAAAACUUUUAGCACAUUACUCCACAUUGAUAGAAGAAGUGGAAGGAAAAUAGUGUUAUAAGAUAUAUACAACAAAAUUAGAGCAUGUAUGAUUAACAGUUGAAGAUGGUACCCUAAUAUAUCAAAGUCCUAGGCUAGGGCCAAUAAUAGAAACCAAAAGCAGGCUACCGGACUGGGGCAGAGCGACGCUGUCUUCUCUGAUCUCGAGCUUGAGCCUGCUGAAAGGAAAGAGGAGGCCGCCUAUUGUGUGCCUACACAUUCGUAACUUAGAUAAUAAAAAAAAUAAUACCCUUCAUACUCAAUUAGUGUCAAUCAAAUAUAUCAUCCAAAAAGGCUCCCGGAGGAAGUUCUGUUUCUUGUCCCAGUCGAGUUUUACAGAAAUCGGAAGAAGACAUAACUAAUCCCGAGCAAGGAAUACGAGACAAAACUUCAGGAACAGACACGAAUAGGUUUAGGAAUGAUACUUGCAGGUUUCUAUACGAUUUAGUAGGUUUAGGAACAGACACAAAUUAGUAGGUCUGAAGGUGCAUUUAGCUUCUAUACGAUUUAUGUCUAGGCAAUAGAUCAGAAUGCACAAGGUGAUUAUUUCUGAACUUCUCACACAGACUAGGUAAUGAUUCUAGCCCGGUCACAAUCAAUUAUACUAUCAUGUGCCUUGUAGAAAGAAGGAGAUACAUACCCCGAUUUCUGUCACAAAACGGCAGGAAGAGCAUUCGACUGCUGGUGCUCCAUGUGGAUACAUAAGCAACACUGCACAACCUCCACACUUUACUUGGCCGACUUCAUGAGCUGCACAAGCGCUCGGAAGACAUAGUUAGAAAAUCAAAACCACCAAGAACAAAUUUCAACAUUUAACACGGCACAGGUCAUCCUUUUCAGUCUGACUUGUGGAAUGCGAAUAUUAAACAAGUUACUUAGACAUGCCAAAUCUUUGGCUGGAAGUGAUGUCUUUUGCAAAAGGUGAAUGUUACCUUCUAGGACAAAAUUGACUUCCUGGCAUCCUGGGCAUCUAAUCCACUUUGCUCCUUGCGGAUACAGACAUAGUUUUCGGCAAGUACCACAAACUAGCUGAGCUUUUUCCGCUUCAGUACAGCAUUUCCAGUGUAAAUACAAGUAUCAAAAAGUUGAAAACCGAGCAGAAAAUUUGAUGUACACUCUUUGAUAAACAUGCUGACGUCAGAGCUAAUCUAUAUCUCGUUCUCUCUCUCUCCCACACACACAAUAAAAUGGCCACUAGUAAAAUUUUGACCAUCAUGAUACCAAAUACCCUCAGUUCUUAUCAAGUCUACUGAAUCUGCCUUGCUUCUUGCUUCAUACAUCUAUCAAGAUUCUAAGUAUUAAAUCUGUUUCAAUUGUUUGAACAGAUGACUUAGCUUGCAACUUAAGCUUAUAUUUAUUUGGUAAAACUUGAGUUCAAUAAAAGUUAACAUUGAGCCGGAGUAUGUGGAAACUGACAGGAAGGAACUAAGCUUCCAAGUUUCUUAAAAGAAAUGUUCACUAAAUGUGAAAGUUUUAGACGCAGACACAUUUUUCCUCAAAGAUAUGAAGAGUUCACCAGAACUAGCAGUCACUAACAUAACAAAGGAACUACAAUUAUUGCAUAUCCGGAAAAGGAAAAUGAAUAAUACACACUCACCAGAAGAUGAUGAUUUAGGCGCAGGCAUCAAUGGGCGUGGAUUUGACUGAAGCUGCUGAAGAGGAGAUGACUGAAGCUGCUGACGAGGAGAUGUAGGCUGGUGCACAGAUGUAGGUCUCUUCUCCUCAUUCUUUUUUUCUUCUUCUUUGUUUCCUG